rnacentral:lncRNA from 10 species
CACCAAUCACUACUAGCAUCUUGACAGAUCCAAGCAUCAUUCACAUCUACCAAGACUGGCUCCGUGCCCUUGAUGGUAUAGCCGUUAAACAUUGGAACCCAGAACACAGAAUGCCCAGCAUGAAUCCUGCUGCCUCAGUUUCUUAAACUAUAAAUCAGCAAACCCAUUUCAUAAGAUUUUGGUAUUAGGUGUGAAAACGCACAGUGUCUGAUAGAGGAGGCGCUGAGUGGGCAUUAGCUCUAAUUGUUACAUUACUUGCCUGUGUCAUCAGAUCUGCUGAUAAGCACACUUUUGGUAUCUUUCCAAGUAAUGAGAAAAUUGUUGACCAAAUCAGAGCAAAGGACACUACUCCCUCUUGGUUGACGAAAACACACGUAUCAGCAGCCUUCUGUUAUGCUGUUUGGCUGUUUUCAAGCUCAACAGUGACAAAAGGGCCAGUAGCCCUGGGUGUAAUUCCUGACUCCAGCAUGUACAUGCCGUGGGGCUGUGGGUCCCCAGAUCUCUCAUGCUGCCCUGAGAAUUAUUUUGGGUUGCUUAUUAGGUGCUAACCCUCUAAGGGGUAGCUGAAUUUCUGGAGGUCCCAAAGAAGACUGUGAAAAUCCAAAGGCAAGCAUUUGAAACAGUGAUAUUUUUGGAGCCUGAGACACAAAUACAAUUGAACAGAGGAUUCAGCCACCUUCCACCUCCCAAAAUACCCCAAAUCACAAUCUGUAUCCUGCUUCAUUUAUGCAGAAAAGUACCUCUUAUGUUGUGUUACCAGAA